UACGUAGGGUGCAAGCGUUAAUCGGAAUUACUGGGCGUAAAGCGUGCGCAGGCGGCUUUGCAAGACAGAUGUGAAGUCCCCGGGCUCAACCUGGGAACUGCAUUUGUGACUGCAAGGCUAGAGUACGGCAGAGGGGGAUGGAAUUCCGCGUGUAGCAGUGAAAUGCGUAGAUAUGCGGAGGAACACCAAUGGCGAAGGCAAUCCCCUGGGCCUGUACUGACGCUCAUGCACGAAAGCGUGGGGAGCAAACAGG
rnacentral:rRNA from 1 species